rnacentral:rRNA from 1 species
AGUAAAAGUCGUAACAAGGUUUCCGUAGGUGAACCUGCGGAAGGAUCAUUAACGAGUUAGGGUCCCCUCGGGGGCCCGAACCUCCCACCCCUUGUCGUCGAACAAACCUUUGUUGCUUUGGCCGGACAGCGUCCGUCCCCCGCGAGGGGGUACCGUCCGCCGCCGGGUCCUCGGACCUGACGAGCGCCGGCCAGAGUCAAACCACAACUCUUCUUUUGAACAGUCUAGUCUGAGUACAAAGAUUUUAAAUCAAAUUAAAACUUUCAACAACGGAUCUCUUGGUUCUGGCAUCGAUGAAGAACGCAGCGAAAUGCGAUAAGUAAUGUGAAUUGCAGAAUUCAGUGAAUCAUCGAAUCUUUGAACGCACAUUGCGCCCCUUGGUAUUCCGGGGGGCAUGCCUGUUCGAGCGUCAUUACACCAAUCAAGCCCUGCUUGGCAUUAGGCCUCUUCGCCCCCGGUCCUUCACGGACGGCGGGGCGGGCCUCAAACCCUUCGGCGGAGUCUCAUCGACUUUGGGCGUAGCAGAAUUUCUAAAACGUCAAGAGCGCUGGGCCUUCAGCCGCGAAAAACCGGCGGUCGCAAGACCCCAUCUUUUCUCAAAGGUUGACCUCGGAUCAGGUAGGAAUACCCGCUGAACUUAAGCAUAUCAAUAAGC